rnacentral:rRNA from 1 species
CCUUCUUUGGGAUAACGCCCGGAAACGGGUGCUAAUACUGGAUAUUCACUGGCCUUCGCAUGGGGGUUGGUGGAAAGGUUUUUUCUGGUGGGGGAUGGGCUCGCGGCCUAUCAGCUUGUUGGUGGGGUGAUGGCCUACCAAGGCUUUGACGGGUAGCCGGCCUGAGAGGGUGACCGGUCACAUUGGGACUGAGAUACGGCCCAG